rnacentral:rRNA from 1 species
UACAACUUUCAACAACGGAUCUCUUGGCUCUCGCAUCGAUGAAGAACGCAGCGAAAUGCGAUAAGUAAUGUGAAUUGCAGAAUUCAGUGAAUCAUCGAAUCUUUGAACGCACCUUGCGCUCCUUGGUAUUCCGAGGAGCAUGCCUGUUUGAGUGUCAUAAAAUUCUCAA